rnacentral:rRNA from 1 species
UACGUAGGGGGGCAAGCGUUGUCCGGAAUUAUUGGGCGUAAAGAGCGUGUAGGCGGUCCGGUAAGUCCGCUGUGAAAGUCGGGGGCUCAACCCUCGAAUGCCGGUGGAUACUGUCGGGCUAGAGUGCGGAAGAGGCGAGUGGAAUUCCUGGUGUAGCGGUGAAAUGCGCAGAUAUCAGGAGGAACACCUAUUGCGAAGGCAGCUCGCUGGGACGUAACUGACGCUGAGACGCGAAAGCGUGAGGAGCAGACAGG